rnacentral:lncRNA from 1 species
AUGGCGGCGGGGGCCGCGCGGGGGGUCCCCGGGGCUGUGGAAGCGGCCGCCAUGGCGGCGGGGCUGCCGGGUACGCCCGGCCCCGGCUGCGGCUCGCCCCGCCCGGCGGCAGGGCCCGGAGUGAGGCGGAGGGAGGCCGGUGAGGCGAUGAGCGGCGGGGCCGGGGCCCUGCCGGCCGUGUGGGGCCGUGGUGUGGAAAGGGAAAUAGAGCCGCUUCUACAGAGCGUUUCUCUACCUGCUGCUGAACCAGCCUUCUUCACGAGCUGCUCAAAUCCAGCCUGUGCCGCGCUCCUCUAGUGUUUGUGCGUGGAAGAUCCUCGCUAGCACCAAGAAAAAAAAAGACUGUGAUGUCAAACAGUUUCAGACAAUAUAAAGCUUCUUUUAAGCAAAGUUAAUAAUUUCCAUGUCAGGUUUUAGAAAAGCACAAUUUACUAUGUCAGAUUUUGGCCUUGUUUUUUUUAAAGAGCUCUGUAACUAAUUGGUAAAAUGACUGUAUUUUAAGCGACUGCAUUACUCACAAGGCAAUUUUAUUUAAUAGCGGGAUUACACAUUGAAAUAAAAAUCAUUGUUACUCUUCCA